rnacentral:rRNA from 1 species
AUUGAACGCUGGCGGCAUGCUUUACACAUGCAAGUCGAACGAGUGGCGGACGGGUGAGUAAUGUAUCGGAACGUGCCCGGUGGCGGGGGAUAACUACUCGAAACAGUGGCUAAUACCGCAUACUAUUGGAUGGGCCGAUAUCGGAUUAGCUAGUUGGUGGGGUAAAGGCUCACCAAGGCAACGAUCCGUAGCUGGUUUGAGAGGAUGACCAGCCACACUGGAACUGAGACACGGCCCAGACUCCUACGGGAGGCAGCAGUGGGGAAUUUUGGACAAUGGGGGAAAGCCUGAUCCAGCCAUCCCGCGUGUAUGAGAAGGCCUUCGGGUUGUAAAGUACUUUCGGCAGGGAGGCGUUACCCGCAGAAGAAGCACCGGCUAACUACGUGCCAGUAGCCGCGGUAAUUC